UACGUAGGUGACAAGCGUUGUCCGGAUUUACUGGGCGUAAAGAGCGCGCAGGCGGUCGAUCAAGUCGAGUGUGAAAGCCCCGGGCUCAGCCCGGGAAGUGCGCUCGAAACUGCGCAGCUCGAGUGCCGGAGGGGAGAGUGGAAUUCCUGGUGUAGCGGUGAAAUGCGUAGAUAUCAGGAGGAAUACCGGUGGCGAAAGCGACUCUCUGGACGGCAACUGACGCUGAGGCACGAAAGCGUGGGGAGCAAACAGG
rnacentral:rRNA from 1 species